rnacentral:rRNA from 1 species
GACGAACGCUGGCGGCGUGCCUAAUACAUGCAAGUUGAGCGCUGAAGGUUGGUACUUGUACCGACUGGAUGAGCAGCGAACGGGUGAGUAACGCGUGGGGAAUCUGCCUUUGAGCGGGGGACAACAUUUGGAAACGAAUGCUAAUACCGCAUAAAAACUUUAAACACAAGUUUUAAGUUUGAAAGAUGCAAUUGCAUCACUCAAAGAUGAUCCCGCGUUGUAUUAGCUAGUUGGUGAGGUAAAGGCUCACCAAGGCGAUGAUACAUAGCCGACCUGAGAGGGUGAUCGGCCACAUUGGGACUGAGACACGGCCCAAACCCCUACGGGAGGCAGCAGUAGGGAAUCUUCGGCAAUGGACGAAAGUCUGACCGAGCAACGCCGCGUGAGUGAAGAAGGUUUUCGGAUCGUAAAACUCUGUUGGUAGAGAAGAACGUUGGUGAGAGUGGAAAGCUCAUCAAGUGACGGUAACUACACAGAAAGGGACGGCUAACUACGUG